rnacentral:rRNA from 1 species
ACGAACGCUGGCGGCGUGCCUAAUACAUGCAAGUCGAGCGGACUUUCAAGAAGCUUGCUUUUUGAAAGUUAGCGGCGGACGGGUGAGUAACACGUGGGCAACCUGCCUGCAAGACGGGGAUAACUCCGGGAAACCGGGGCUAAUACCGGAUAAUAUCUUCCUUCGCAUGAAGGAAGGUUGAAAGGCGGCGCAAGCUGCCGCUUGCAGAUGGGCCCGCGGCGCAUUAGCUAGUUGGUGAGGUAACGGCUCACCAAGGCGACGAUGCGUAGCCGACCUGAGAGGGUGAUCGGCCACACUGGGACUGAGACACGGCCCAGACUGCUACGGGAGGCAGCAGUAGGGAAUCGGCCGCAAUGGGCGGAAGUCUGACGGAGCAACGCCGCGGGAGCGAAGAAGGUCUUCGGAUCGUAGAGCUCUGUUGUCAGGGAAGAACAAGUACCGUUCGAACAGGGCGGUACCUUGACGGUACCUGGCCAGAAAGCCACGGCUAACUACGUG